rnacentral:rRNA from 1 species
UACAGAGGUCCCAAGCGUCGUUCGGAUUCACUGGGCGUAAAGGGUGCGUAGGCGGUCGGGUAAGUCUGGCGUGAAAUCUCCAAGCCUAACUUGGAAACUGCGUUGGAUACUAUCCGGCUCGAGGAAUGGAGGGGAGACUGGAAUACUUGGUGUAGCAGUGAAAUGCGUAGAUAUCAAGUGGAACACCAGUGGCGAAGGCGAGUCUCUGGACAUUUCCUGACGCUGAGGCACGAAAGCCAGGGGAGCAAACGGG